UACGUAGGGUCCGAGCGUUGUCCGGAAUUAUUGGGGCGUAAAGGCUCGUAGGCGGUUUGUCGCGUCGGGAGUGAAAACCUACAGCUUGAACUGUGGGCUUGCGUUUCGAUACGGGCAGACUUGAGGGCAUGCAGGGGAGAACGGAAUUCCUGGUGUAGCGGUGAAAUGCGCAGAUAUCAGGAGGAACACCGGUGGCGAAGGCGGUUCUCUGGGCAUGUUCUGACGCUGAGGAGCGAAAGUGUGGGGAGCGAACAGG
rnacentral:rRNA from 1 species